rnacentral:rRNA from 1 species
UCUUUUAGACAUUGGGUAGGGGAGCGUUCUGUAAGCCGUUGAAGGUGGAUCGUAAGGUUUGCUGGAGGUAUCAGAAGUGCGAAUGCUGACAUGAGUAACGACAAAGGGGGUGAAAAACCUCCUCGCCGGAAGACCAAGGGUUCCUGUCCAACGUUAAUCGGGGCAGGGUGAGUCGACCCCUAAGGUGAGGCCGAAAGGCGUAAUCGAUGGGAAACGGGUUAAUAUUCCCGUACUUCUGACUAUUGCGAUGGGGGGACGGAGAAGGCUAGGUGGGCCAGGCGACGGUUGUCCUGGUUCAAGUGCGUAGGCUUGAGAGUUAGGUAAAUCCGGCUCUCUCUAAGGCUGAGACACGACGUCGAGCUGCUACGGCAGUGAAGUCAUUGAUGCCAUGCUUCCAGGAAAAGCCUCUAAGCUUCAGAUAGUCAGGAAUCGUACCCCAAACCGACACAGGUGGUCGGGUAGAGAAUACCAAGGCGCUUGAGAGAACUCGGGUGAAGGAACUAGGCAAAAUGGUACCGUAACUUCGGGAGAAGGUACGCUCUUGAUGGUGAAGUCCCUCGCGGAUGGAGCUGACGAGAGUCGCAGAUACCAGGUGGCUGCAACUGUUUAUUAAAAACACAGCACUGUGCAAAAUCGCAAGAUGACGUAUACGGUGUGACGCCUGCCCGGUGCCGGAA